rnacentral:lncRNA from 1 species
CUUAACUCUCAGCCUUAGCCUUUCGGCUCUCUUAUCCAAUAAGACUGGCGCCCAGAGAGCAUAGCUCGACCAGGGACCUUACCUCCAGUCUGGUCACUUAAAUUUUCAAAUAAGCCGGCGCCCAGAGAGCAAUGCUCGACCAGGGACCUUUACUCCGGCAACCACACUCUACUAAGCCUAGAGAGCGAUGCUCGACCAGGGCAGGUCCUAAUCUUUCUUUCUCAAAAUUUUUACCUCUUUACCCUUUUCCUAUCUCUCUCAUAUUAUAUUGGAACACUCAUCCAACUUCUAUGUUCUACUGCCGUCCCAUCCUGAGUCAUCAUGCAAUAUUAAAAUUGGUGAUAAAGGAAAAAUAUAUUUAAAUAGUAAUUAAAAGCAUCAUGAAAAUAAUGAUAAUAAUUAAAUGAAAAAUUAAAAUUGCAAAUGAAUAAUCACAGUAGCAAAUCAAAUUUUAUGCAUGACACGUGCAUAAGCGAUAUAUGACUUUAACUCACAGAAUUGGGCGACCUCCUAACUCUGCUCCGGUGCCUCAGUUGGAGCGAGCCGAACAGACAGAUCAUCUAAUCACGGAAAACAAUUUAUCAAAACGCUGAAACAAUCGAUCAUUAAUCCUAGGUCUAGACUCCUAAGACUGACUGUCUAAGAAUCUCGACUCGGGAAUUCUACCGAAAAUCCGGCAGAACCUCCCCUACAACACGAACAUUACCCCCCGUAAAAACGGGUCCAGGACCUGCCAGAAAAACACUCCAAAUAUCCAACAAUUUAAACAACGGGAGUCGGGUCCCCAAACUUCACUAUUUCCCGACUCCGCCACACAGCACAAAAUACGAGGCAGGCAAACUGACAGACAAUUAUUUUUGACUCACAAUAUCAUCAAAUACACAAUAUAAUCCAAUAGACACAAAUAAACCAAGAAUUUCUAAAAUUAACGGGCCAAAGAAAAUUACCGAGACGCUCGGUCGCUCGGUCGACUAGCCUCCAGCCGCCAGAGUCCGAUCGACGAUCCGAACACACCAUCGGACUCACAACGACGCGCUGAUGACGAUCCCAGCUUCCGAUUUUCCGAUCUGACACCCGAUCGUCCGAAAAAAUUUACGGACGAUCGCGGCCGUCGAUUUGCAAACGGAGCCCGA